UUUGUUUUGUUCCUUAUAUAUUCAAUUAACAUUAAUAUUUUUCUAUUAAACUCAACCUUGUUCUUUCAUCCGUUCCUGCGAUCAAACGAUCAAGAGGCAUGACGGUCAAUAACAUUACCCGCGGCGGCACUUGGUUUUUUGUUUCUGCUAUCAAAAACCAUGGCAUGGUUGGUCCUUGAUUGUGUCGGAGGGGCCGUAUCUGAGGCAGGGCGAAGAGGGCGACCGCCAUGGGCUCCAAAAAAUAAGUACUAAAUUUGCCCGUUUCAAUUAUAAACGUUCUCUGAAUGAACAAAAUUAGUGGCGCUAAUAAUUCGCAAGCACAACCAAUGAAUAAUAAAACUGCAACAUUUUACUUUAUGAUGUCCUGCUAGAUGAUGUUUUUCCAGCUUUGAAUUCCUAAAACUGGCAUGUCUGUAUCUGUUGCACCAUUGUGUGUGCACUUUUUCUAUUUUCCAUCUUUUCAUGCUUUAGGUUAUCAAGAACACAAAUUCACGGUUUGUAUGCGCUUUUUCCAGUUUCCAUCUUUUCAUGCUUUAGUUUAUCAAAAACAGAAAUUCAUAUUUCAUAAGAAUUAUUAUUAUCAUAUAAUAUAUGCUUUAGUCCAUCGAUUGUGACUUGUUGAA